rnacentral:misc_RNA from 1 species
GAUGAAGAACGCAGCGAAAUGCGAUACGUAAUGUGAAUUGCAGAAUUCAGUGAAUCAUCGAAUCUUUGAACGCAUAUUGCGCUCUUUGGUAUUCCGAAGAGCAUGCUUGUUUGAGUAUCAGUAAACACCUCAAAGCUUUUGGAUUUUUUAAUCGAAAAGCUUUGGACUUGAGCAAUCCCAACACCAAUCUUUUUGAGAUCGGUGGCGGGUUGCUUGAAAUGCAGGUGCAGCUGACAUUCUCCUGAGCUAAAAGCAUAUUCAUUUAGUCCCGUCAAACGGAUUAUUACUUUUGCUGCAGCUAACAUAAAGGGAGUUUGACCGUAUUGGCUGACUGAUGCAGGAUUUCACAAGGGUCGGCAACGAUUCUUGUUAAACUCGAUCUCAAAUCAAGUAAGACUACCCGCUGAACUUAAGCAUAUCAAUAAGCGGAGGA